CUUAACAUGCAAGUCGAACGGUAACAGGUCUUCGGAUGCUGACGAGUGGCGAACGGGUGAGUAAUACAUCGGAACGUGCCCGACAGUGGGGGAUAACGAAGCGAAAGCUUUGCUAAUACCGCAUACGAUCUCAGGAUGAAAGCAGGGGACCGCAAGGCCUUGCGCUCACGGAGCGGCCGAUGGCAGAUUAGGUAGUUGGUGGGAUAAAAGCUUACCAAGCCGACGAUCUGUAGCUGGUCUGAGAGGACGACCAGCCACACUGGGACUGAGACACGGCCCASACUCCUACGGGAGGCAGCAUUGGGGAAUUUUGGACAAUGGGCGCAAGCCUGAUCCAGCCAUGCCGCGUGCAGGAUGAAGGCCUUCGGGUUGUAAACUGCUUUUGUAC
rnacentral:rRNA from 1 species